GGCUGGCUAGCUCAGCUGGUUAGAGGGUGGUGUUAAUAACACCAAGGCCAUAGGUUCAAUCCCCAUGCUGGCCA
rnacentral:tRNA from 2 species